GGUUACACGCUGCUCCAGGACUAAACAGGCUUAGAAAUGUGCUGUUGCUGGCUCGCCUCCACUCUUAUCUCUGAAAGGCUAUUUCCAUGCUAACAGCUUUCUCUAGGACCUGGUAAACUGUAUGGGUAUUAAAAGAAUGGCUUUUCUCAUUUUUCCUUGCAGCGGUCUGAGUGAGAGGAGGGAGAAAUGAAGGUAACGACGAGGCUGGUGCCACGGAGUUGAGUGCUGCCACCCUCACAGUGCGUGUGAGUUGUCAUGUGAAUACGCCUUCUACUCAUCACAUUGCUCUGUGGCCUCUCUAGGCACCCAGCCUCUGGAAACAGUAAAUUAUGGGUGAAGAUUCAGAGAUCCAGAGAUAAGACGAGGUGGAUGGGGGUCACAGAGGUCACCAUGGAUGAAUUAUGAAGAAUGUUGAGAUACAGAGGUAAAAAAGAGUUACCAUCUUUCGAGGCAGUUUGAUCCUGGAAGUGACCACAGUGUUUAUUGAGGAUAUUAUGUUUGGAAGGCUAUGCAAUCAAGCAAUAAAGCAAAUGUAGAGUCCAGAAGCUAGAGCUAUUUUCUCUUGGCUUCCAACAUCUUCUGGAGAAAUAUUUCAUUGAGAAGCUAAUGGAAAGUAAAUUGAUAUCUGAAAACAGAGCUCAGUCUACCAAGGACUUGCUUCAGAAGAGUGAGGAUCUGAGUUUGGAUCUCCAGAACCCACAUGAACUGGACUUGGUAGCGUACCAGUAAUCCCAGCACUAGGGGAGAAUAGAAGGCAGAGAGGAGACUUAGGUCAGCUAGUCUGGAAUAUGAAAUGGCACGAAAUGCAAAAGAAACCUUGUCACAAACAAGGUAAAAGAUGCCAGACACCUGAGGUUGCCGUCUGACUUCCACAUGUGUGCUAUGACAGAGACGCACCCGUACUCACAUGAACAUAUACAUACAGAUUUAGAAAACGAUGCUUCAUCUAUGAUCACAUGGACUUAAAGAUUCCCACUUCACCUAUAGAGGGAAGGCCCUUUCCAGAUGAUACAGCAACAGUGACACAUCAGAACUUGACAGGGGGCUGAGAGUUCUUAAUAAAAUGCAUCACAAUCAUGGAAUAGAUAGGAGCUAAUGCAUUAGAAAAAAAUACUCCUUUGAUUUCACAAGUGAGUAUGCGCAGACUCAAAUUGACUCAUUUUUUCCUUGAGAUCUUAAUUAAAAUCUGGAAUAGAAAUGAUCAGAACAUGCUAUUUUAAGCUAUAGAUCCUGAAUGUCUACACUGUUUGCCAACUUAAUCCUCUACUUAUUCUCAGAGGUCAACAACAGCUUUCUUCCGGGAAAACAGGAUAAGGAAAAGAUGCUUCCACCCAUGGGCAUCAGCAAUAAAGUGGAUGAAACUAA